rnacentral:rRNA from 1 species
UACGGAGGGUGCAAGCGUUAAUCGGAAUUACUGGGCGUAAAGGGUGCGUAGGUGGUGAGUUAAGUCUGAUGUGAAAGCCCCGGGCUCAACCUGGGAAUGGCAUUGGAAACUGGCUCGCUGGAGUGUGAUAGAGGAUGGCGGAAUUCCCGGUGUAGCGGUGAAAUGCGUAGAGAUCGGGAGGAACAUCAGUGGCGAAGGCGGCCAUCUGGAUCAACACUGACACUGAGGCACGAAAGCGUGGGGAGCAAAC